UCCAUCUAAAAUGUGAGAUUACCAAGUUGCCUUGACGGAGACGCCUUGACUCCCGAGGCUUGCAAUGACCUCAAAACGAAGCACAUGUGAUCUAUUGAAGACCCUGACUUUUCGGGCAUGGCGCUUUUCUACCUCGUCAAAGACGUCGGGUUUGGAAAUCCAACAAGAAGAGUGGCUCCAAAUUGAUGGCUUUGGAAAGUGCCACAUGGGCAUUUACAAGUAAUCGAGAACAAAUGAAACCCACAGAAAGUCUGGAGGUUGAAAUUCGGUUUAUGAACGGAAAGGGAUAAUCCCACAAGAACUUGAUUAUUGGUUCGUUUAAUUUGAACUCAAACGUAUUUGUACAAUUAAUCAUUGGAGGACGCAAAUAAUUAUUCAUAGCUAUAUGCCAACGUUUUAUCGAGCAAUGAGCUUCAUCCAAAUGUAUUUACAUAGAAUCAUGAUAGCGACUCCUUUUGGUUGUUGCACUGCAUCAAUAUCAAAGGUAUUAUUCAUUCGUAUUUGUUUCUUAUCAUGAAUAGACCAACCCGUUAGACCAUCGAUGAAUCAUCAUCUUCAUCAUUCAUCAAUAUCUGAUCGUUCUUGGAUUGUAACGCUUGAAAUAAUGUGAGAAGAACCGACAAAGAUAUAUGAUCAAUAUACAUGUGUGUAUAUAUACACACAGACAAAUAUGCCACUUCCUUGUAUUUUCGAUGCGCAAAUAAACAGAUCAAGCAGAUAUUAACUGUAUGGUUACAAG